GGGUUCGGGGUUGCGUAGCCUCGGAGGCAACUGCGGAUGGUCGGGCCGCCAUCCG
rnacentral:ncRNA from 1 species